UAAGUUUUUAGUGUUGUAAAUGAAUUAAAUAAAAAAUAAAAAAAAAAUCUGUUCUUAUCAGUUUAAUAUCUGAUACGUCCCCUAUCUGGGGACCAUAUAUUAAAUGGAUUUUUCGAACAGGGAGAUGGAAAAAGAGCUUGCUCUGUCCACUCCACGCAUUGACCUGGUAUUUCAGUACCUCCAGGACCGGUGCACCCUUU